rnacentral:rRNA from 1 species
UGCAAGUCGAGCGAACAGAUAAGGAGCUUGCUCCUUUGACGUUAGCGGCGGACGGGUGAGUAACACGUGGGUAACCUACCUAUAAGACUGGGAUAACUUCGGGAAACCGGAGCUAAUACCGGAUAAUAUUUCGAACCGCAUGGUUCGAUAGUGAAAGAUGGUUUUGCUAUCACUUAUAGAUGGACCCGCGCCGUAUUAGCUAGUUGGUAAGGUAACGGCUUACCAAGGCGACGAUACGUAGCCGACCUGAGAGGGUGAUCGGCCACACUGGAACUGAGACACGGUCCAGACUCCUACGGGAGGCAGCAGUAGGGAAUCUUCCGCAAUGGGCGAAAGCCUGACGGAGCAACGCCGCGUGAGUGAUGAAGGUCUUCGGAUCGUAAAACUCUGUUAUUAGGGAAGAACAUACGUGUAAGUAACUAUGCACGUCUUGACGGUACCUAAUCAGAAAGCCACGGCUAACUACGUGCCAGCAGCCGCGGUAAUACGUAGGUGGCAAGCGUUAUCCGGAAUUAUUGGGCGUAAAGCGCGCGUAGGCGGUUUUUUAAGUCUGAUGUGAAAGCCCACGGCUCAACCGUGGAGGGUCAUUGGAAACUGGAAAACUUGAGUGCAGAAGAGGAAAGUGGAAUUCCAUGUGUAGCGGUGAAAUGCGCAGAGAUAUGGAGGAACACCAGUGGCGAAGGCGACUUUCUGGUCUGUAACUGACGCUGAUGUGCGAAAGCGUGGGGAUCAAACAGGAUUAGAUACCCUGGUAGUCCACGCCGUAACGAUGAGUGCUAAGUG